rfam:Parcubacteria group bacterium CG1_02_37_13 cg1_0.2_scaffold_230_c, whole genome shotgun sequence.
AAAAGUAAAAGGCAACUUUAACUUUAUGCAAUCACAAGAAGUCAGCAGAGCUCAUAGUACUUUCACCCGCCAAAAUUCUUCUAAAAGAAAUUUAAGCGGGCAAGAGAGGAAGGAG